GACGAACGCUGGCGGCGUGCUUAACACAUGCAAGUCGAACGGAAAGGCCCUGCUUUUGUGGGGUGCUCGAGUGGCGAACGGGUGAGUAACACGUGAGUAACCUGCCCUUGACUUUGGGAUAACUUCAGGAAACUGGGGCUAAUACCGGAUAGGAGCUCCUGCUGCAUGGUGGGGGUUGGAAAGUUUCGGCGGUUGGGGAUGGACUCGCGGCUUAUCAGCUUGUUGGUGGGGUAGUGGCUUACCAAGGCUUUGACGGGUAGCCGGCCUGAGAGGGUGACCGGCCACAUUGGGACUGAGAUACGGCCCAGACUCCUACGGGAGGCAGCAGUGGGGAAUAUUGCACAAUGGGCGGAAGCCUGAUGCAGCAUCGCCGCGUGCGGGAUGACGGCCUUCGGGUUGUAAACCGCUUUCGCCUGUGACGAAGCGUGAGUGACGGCAAUGGGUAAAGAAGCACCGGCUAACUACGUG
rnacentral:rRNA from 1 species